UACGUAGGGGGCAAGCGUUGUCCGGAAUCAUUGGGCGUAAAGAGCGCGUAGGCGGUCCGGUAAGUCCGCUCUGAAAGUCCGGGGCUCAACCCCGGGAGGCGGGCGGAUACUGGCGGGCUAGAGUCCGGAAGAGGCGAGUGGAAUUCCUGGUGUAGCGGUGAAAUGCGCAGAUAUCAGGAGGAACACCAAUGGCGAAGGCAGCUCGCUGGGACGGUACUGACGCUGAGGCGCGAAAGCGUGGGGAGCAAACAGG
rnacentral:rRNA from 1 species